rnacentral:snRNA from 1 species
GUACUAUUGCAGCACAUAUAAUAAAUUGGAACGAUACAGAGAAGAUUAGCAUGGUUCCUGUGCA